UCAUUAUCAUUCGCUUUUUCUUCUUUAACUGGUUGAUUGGUUUAGUUCUGUCUGCAUACAUGAUUGACACUUGCUUUAUCACUGCAGUGUUCGACUAGAAGAACAAGAGGACUGAUAGAUUUGGGUUUGGUUUGGAGAGUAAACGAUUGCAGAAACCUCCAGCCUCCAUCAAGGUCAACAUCUGCUUUUAGCCGAUAACAAGCUUAGACAUGAAAGUCAACAUCAUGAAAGGCUUGCUCCGAAACUCAAGUUUUGGGAGAAAUCUGAAAAAAGAAGGUGAAGGGAGGGGAGCAGAAGGUUAUGUCGUACAUUCAUCUUCAAUGAAAU